rnacentral:sRNA from 1 species
AUUAAAGGAACUCUGGCUAAAAUCGCCGCGUCCUGCGGCAACGCCUGUGUGACUAACACCCUGUUGG